CCCCAGGCCACAUGCUUCUUUAUAUCCUCAUAGAUAUCUCAGCACUAUGGAAUGUAAGGAAGUGUGUGGUUUUGGC
rnacentral:pre_miRNA from 7 species